GGGCCGCACGCAUGCCAGGCGAGCGCACUACCACUUGAGCCACAUCCCCAGCCCAAGCCGCAGCUAUCUUAUGACCAUAAGGAAAGUCAGCCUAGGGAUGAAGUCAACACACCAAAGUUUUUGACAAAAAGUCCAAGAAGGAGCCAUGAUCACUUCUGUGUCUGCUGAGACCUGAGGGGGGUGAAUUUCCCCAGAGCACGGAAGGACCUCCAGGCCCCUUCUCCACAGAGUCCAUCUUUCUACAUAAUAUUGUUAUUAAAAGCUGCUGUUUACCAUGGAAGAUGGUAUCAACUACUCACUGUCUCAGGGCCACUCGCUCUGAAAUGAUGCUUCUAUUGGAGAGAGGUUUGCAUUGUCCACGUUUGGAGGUUCUAUUCUUUUCCAUGUAAGAUGCGGAACUGGAUGGAUCUAGGUUUGAAUGCUGUUCUGCUAUUUACAACUUGCAUGACUUUGGGCGAGUUCCUUGUGCCUUCGUUUCUUUAUGUAUAAGUAAGAAUAAUAUGAAACUAUUGCAUGGGUCCCUCUUUCUUGCCUCUCCUCUGAUUUUGAUUUCCAGCAAAACUGAUAUUUGGGCCCUCAGUAUUUCCAUCCCUCUUUGUCUGACUUGCAAUCCUCUCAGUCCCUUGAUACUAAUUUGUUCUGAUGAAUAAAUCCUUCAUAACAAA